CAUUUUCUGUUAAUCACAGCUCCAUUUGAUGGGGGUUUGCAAUUUGACUUAUUCCUUAUUAUAAAACUUCAAUUUAGUAAUUUAACACAAUGAGAGAGAAAAUGUAACCAAAUCUUCAGAUAACCCCCAUUUCAUUUCUGCAACACCUUCAGAGUGCUGAGAGGGAGAGGGAGACGGGAGAUUUGAAUUGGAAAUCAGCUUCAUUUCUCUGCUGGUAAAAACAGUUUUAGAAUUCUUCAUUGAGGGGCAGGAGGCAACCCAUAGGCCUGAAGAUUUUAAUCCAAAUUUUAUAACUUUUUUCAGGCACAAAAAAACCUCCAACAUGUCACCCAAUACAAAGAGACAAGAGAAAGCUUUUUUAUUACGCCCCCCACACACCCCCGUUUCUGAAGACGUCUUGCUCCCGACUGAUUCCUUGUUUCACGCCCCUGCACUCCCCAGAGCUCCCUCCUGCAGAGUUCUCUCUCUCCUGCACUUCCCACCGCUCGCCUUUCCACUCCUCCGGGAGUUGCUGCAGCCUUCUCUCCCGGGGCAGGCCAGGAAGGGCCCCUCUCCCAUUUCCACCCCAGGCUGCCUCCCCACGCCUGCCACUUCCCUCCCCUCCCUCGCCCCAGUCUCCAUCUUCCUCUUUCUCAACUUUCCCCUUCUCCUAACUCAUCCCCU
rnacentral:lncRNA from 1 species